GUCACUGGUCGCCCGCCACCCUCGGGCCCUUUGCCACUCGCUUCCACUCAUCCGCCCUCAGGUGGUGCAGCCGAGCCCUCAGGUCCCGGCUGCCAUUGCGCGGACAGGUGAGCCGCUCCCAGACGCAGGGCCCUUCCUCCCCCGCGCCUCCAGAUGGGCAGUGGGAGGCUCUGGAGGCCGUGUUCAGGCUUUGAGCUGUCCUAGAGCUACAGACCUGCUGGGCGUACACCACAGACAUGGCCCAGCCACUGUCUUUAGUCUUUGAUGUCCCCGAGAUGGAUGGGGACGAGGACCAGGAGCCCAGCCCAUAUGAGGAGAGCGAAGUACACGACUCCUUCCAUCAGCUCAUUCAAGAGCAGAGCCAGAGGGCAGCCGAGGAGGGGCUGGAGCUGCAGCAGGUGGCCAGAACCCUGGGGGCCCCAGGCAGUGAUCAUCAGACUCAUCUGGGGCCCGAGGGUGGCCCUGUCCACCACACAGCUACACUCCGCAUCUUGGCCAGCAUGCCGAGUCGCACCAUCGGCCGUAGCCGUGGGGCCAUCAUCUCCCAAUACUACAAUCGCACCCUGCAGCUUCGGAGAAGGAGCAGCCGGCCCCUGCUGGGGAGCGUGGUACGCUCGGCCCGGCCCAGCCUCCGCCUGUAUGACCUGGAGCUGGACUCUGCAGCCCUGGAGGAGGACGAGAAGCGGAGCCUCCUGGUAAAGGAGCUUCAGGGUUUGUCGGUCACCCAGCGUGACCACAUGAUUCGGGGGAUGCCCUUGAGCCUGGCUGAGAAGCGCUGGCUGAGAGAGAAGAGCUGGACCCCAAGAGGGAAAAGGAAGGGCCAGCAGGGCCGUGGGGUCUCCGGCUGCAGCCGACUCAGAUACAGCUGCCUCCUGGCCCUGCACAGCCUGGGGCUGGCUCUUCUCUCAGGCUUGUAUGCCAGGUGGCCGUGGCACUAUGCCCUGAAGCAGAUCGGAGGUCAGUUCGGCUCCAGUGUGCUCUCCUACUUUCUGUUCCUCAAGACCCUGCUGGCCUUCAACGUGCUGCUGCUGCUGCCACUGCUGGCCUUCCUCGUGGGCGUCCAGGCCGCCUUCCCACCGACUCCACUGGGCCCUGCCCCCACCUUCACGGGGCUGGAGCUCCUCACAGGCAGGGGCUCCUUCACCCAUACUGUCAUGUACUAUGGGUACUACAGUAACACCACGCUGAACCAGCCGUGUCCCCCGCCACAGGAUGGAAGCCAGUGUGACCCUGGGGCUGGUGGCCUACCUUACAACAUGCCCAUGGCCUACCUCUUCACUGUGGGGGCGGCCUUUUUUAUCACUUGCAUCACCCUAGUGUACAGCAUGUCCCACUCUUUCGGGGACAGCUACCGGGUGGGCAGCACGAAGGGUGUUCACGCCCUCACUGUCUUCUGCUCCUGGGACUGCAAGGUGACCCAGAAUUGGGCCUCCCGCAUCCAGCAGGACAGCAUCCGCACUCAGCUGAAGGAGCUGCUGGCUGAGUGGCAGCUGUGCAGGGAACCCCGGAGUGUGUGUGGCCGGCUGCGACAGGGGCUCGUGCUGGGGCUGGUGUGGCUGCUGUGUCUGGGGAUCACACUGGGCUGCACAAUGGCUGUCCUCACCUUCUCGGAGGUCAUGAUUCAGAGCUCUGUGGCUGGUGGCCAGGAGGUGGGGCUGCUGGCCCUGCCCCUGGUGGUCAGCCUCCUCAACCUGGGAGCCCCCUACCUGUUCCGUGGCCUAGCUACCCUGGAGUGGCACGACUCCCCAGUGCUGGAGGUGUAUGUGGCCAUUUGCAGGAACCUCCUCCUCAAGGUGGCGCUCCUUGGUGUUCUUUGUUACCACUGGCUGGGCCGCAGGGUGGCCGUGCUGCAGGGCCAGUGCUGGGAGGACUUUGUGGGCCAGGAGUUGUACCGGUUCAUGGUGAUGGACUUCCUCUUCACGCUGCUCGACACACUGUUUGGGGAGCUGGUGUGGAGGCUCAUCUCAGAGAAAAAGCUAAAAAGGAGGCGGAAGCCUGAGUUUGACAUCGCGCGGAAUGUUCUGGAUCUGAUUUACGGGCAGACUCUGACCUGGCUGGGUGUCCUCUUCUCACCUGUCCUCCCAGCUGUGCAAAUCCUCAGGCUGCUGCUCCUCUUCCAAGUCAAGAAGGCAAGCCUGAUGGCCAACUGCCAGGGGCCGCGGAGACACUGGCUGGCCUCCCAUAUGAGCACUGUCUUCCUCACGCUGCUCUGCUUCCCGUCCUUCCUGGGUGCAGCUGUCUUCCUCUGCUACGCCAUCUGGCAGGUGAAGCCCUCAAGCAUCUGUGGCCCCUUCCGGACCCUGGACACCAUGUAUGAGGCGGGCACCGUGUGGGUGCGGCACCUGGAGAGGGCCGGCUCUGGGGCCUCAUGGCUGCCCUGGCUGUACCACCACCUGGUGGAGAACACUUUCUUCAUCUUCCUGGUGUCGGGCCUGCUGCUGGCUGUCAUCUACCUCAACAUCCAAGUGGUGAAGGGCCAGCGGAAGGUCAUCUGUCUGCUCAAAGAGCAGAUCCGGAAUGAGGGGGAGGACAAAAUCUUCUUGAUCAACAAGCUUCACUCUGUGUAUGAGAAGAGAGAGACCAGGUGAAGCCAAGGAUGGACUGAGGCCUCUGGCUGGCAGAACCCAGGGGACUGCGCCACCACCUGCCCUACUCACAGACAGGGGAUGCCCAGGCGGAUAGUGUGGAACUCUGCUGGCCCGCUCAACACCCCCAGCUGUCCCGAUGCCACGGCUCUGCAGGCAGAGACAUGGACCUGAGACCAUGCUGGCCCCUUGAAGACACCAUGGGACACCAGGAUAGUGGACCUUCCGUUAAGCUCCACCUGAGCUGAAGAUGGAGCCAGAGGCUACACUCAGGACCAGGAAGCCAACCUGGGGAGGAAGCCAACCUGGGGAGGAAAAGAGUCAGAGAGCAAAGCCGCCUGGCCCUAUCAUCCUCUAGUGGAACCAAAGCCACUGGCCAUUAGCCAUCCCCCAUCUGGACUUGUGCUCGCUCAGUGCUGUGCCUUCCUGGGGACAGUCCCAUGGGACACUUCUGUGCUCUGCAGAUGUCCAGAGGUAGGUGCCAUUGGCUGAUGAGAGCCCUGGAGUUUACCUGGCAUCCGUCUGGGUGGCACAUGAGGACCUGCUAUAGUCCUUGAUGCUGUGUUCCUCAUGGCUCCUCCGAGCUGGGUGGUGCUUAGGGGCCUUGCAAAGCAGCUGGUGUCAAUCUUGAGUGGCCAUUUUUGACUACAUCUUGGCAUGAGUGCAGGACUGACCUGGGGUCUCUAGGCCACACCCAUCAGGUGCUGACCUGGAAGUCCUGGAUGGACCACAUAAGUAGAUCACUGCUGCUCGACUCAGUAUGACCACUGGUUCUGACUGAGUCAUUUCUGCCUCACAGCUCCUUGAAGUCAGGACAGGCUACUCAGUCAAGAGAAAAAGCUUGCCCUGGGGUUUUGCAGAAUUGCUGCAUGCUGUCACUUGUGUCCAGAGGUCCUGGAUGCAAACUGGAAUCCAGGUGUUGCUGUGAAGGGAGGCUGCAGAUGUGGCAACAUGUAAAAUUAGCUGACCUUAAGUAGAAGAGAGGAUCUGUGAUCACGCGGGUGGGUCUCAUUUGAUAAGCAGCCUUAAGAGCAGCGCUGAAGUUUCCUGAGAAGGAAUUCCUCAGCGUGCUGCUGCCCUGCAUGCUCCAGACUCACCAGCUGCACACUGGGUGGCCAGUGCUCUGUCCGUCUGUUGGCUCCAUUCUCUGAAUGCACAGCUAGGACAUCUCUCUGUGCUUCUUCCAUGGCAGCCCAUGUGUGGUGCUGGGAGGGCUGCGGAGUCACUCAUGCCCUGUGACCUCUUCACCUCCUGACCUCACCACGCCUAGCAUGUGCUGUACCUCAGAGCUACCCCGUACCUAGCUCCUGUACCUGAGGUGUCGCGUAAAUAAAGAAAAAGGCACCUGUGGUUGCUGAAUAAGGUCAGCCCAAGGCUUGGAGUUUACAAACUGCUACUUCGGUGGGUGGGAGGUCAUCACUGGCAUUUCAGGCUGAACGUGAAUCCUCUAUGCACUGCUUCUUGAUGUUUUGGUGGCAGGGUGCAACCAUGGGAUGUUCUAGGGCUCCCUGUAAGAUUUGGAAUGAGCUGGUACAGCCGUGCCCCGCAGUGGGACUCUACUGGGGGCCAAGGUUCAGAACUCUGGCCGUAGGUCACAACCACCAUCACCUAAGCCUGCGGUGGUCCUGUCGACUUAAGAGUGUCUACAAAUGAGCUGGCCUUGGAGGCCAGGUCAGGCGUGCUCCUUUUUGACGUGCACUGGCUUUCGUGGUCCAUCCAAAGGUGCUACUGCCACAAAGAAUGGUGAAACAUCCACCAUCUCUGGUAAUUCUCUAUUGAACACACAGACCACCCCCAUGGCAUCUCUCGUCUCAUCCUUUCUGUCCCUGGAAUUGACUUGCCUGACAUCACCUCUUCUGUCCAUCCCGCCGCCUCCACCAAACGCCUUGCUGCUGGCCUUUACCGUCCUGCCAUGCUGUUGCCACAACAGUGAAGACACAAAAAGGGCAGCUCUGAACCCACCAUUUUCUUGAUUCUACACAUCAGGCCUCCUUUUCACCUGUGAGUACCAGAAACCCACUUGGAUCCUCCUGCCUCACCCUCAGCAUCCUGAGGUCUGGGACUACAGGCGCUGACCACUGGGUCCAGCUCUCUUUUUUGUGUGGUGCUGGGAGUGGAGCCCAGGGCUUUGGACAUCUAGUUCAAUGAAUGAGGCUUUCACAGUUGGUGUGCAUUCUGGGUCUCGGCUUAUGUUCUGUUCCCCACCUGUUCCCUGCACACUCCCAUGUCAACGUUGAACCUGGCCACACAGGCUGUGAAAAGUAUUGCCUGCCGCUGCCUCCUCCUCCUCAUCCUCCUUGAAGCCUGAGUCCUUAAGGCCUGGCUGUUCUUACGGCACUGGACUCGGCCUCUCGGGAAGAGGCACUGUUGCGACUGCACUCCAGGCAGGUACUGAACCCCUGCUAGAGGGCCGAGCAGACCCCAGGCUGCUGCUCAGAGUGCUGAGUGCCCAUGGUGGUUCCUGUGCCCGAGUUCCACUCUUUCUCUGGUCCUUAGUUUUCUCUUGGAUUCGGCUCCUCUGUGCCCUCAACUUCCAGCAAUUCACCAUCUUCUCUGUGUGAUGCAGUUGUCUCUGGCUGGCAGGUGGACCUCUCCAUCUGAGGUGGAACUGAUGCACAUGGCAGGGAGACAGUCGGUUAGGACAACAGUGGCAUUUGCUCUGCUGUCCAGACACAUUACAAUACCGAUGGAGUGGAAGUGUUGGCACAAGACACACUCAAGGUCAUGCCAAGAGUCCUAGGGGUGGACCUGAGGUAAACAGACCAUUUCCAUUUCCAGCUGCCACCUGUAACUCUGCAGUGAAAAAGCUGAGGUCCCACUGUGCUGCCCCACAGAGGUUAGCUACUAGCUAAGAUGGCUUUAUAGAAAGAGAUGAAAAAAACAUCUAGGAGUCGCAAAAACCUUCCUUACUCAUAUCCCAUGUUUUUCUUUUGAGUCAGGUCUUGCUGUGCUGCCCAAGCUGGUCUCCAACUUCUAAGCUCCAUCUGUCCUCUCACCUCAGCCUCCUGAUCGAAUGGUAGGACCAUAGGUGGCUGGGUCUCUGAGCACUGACUGAGCUACAUCCCCAGCUGAUCGUUUUUGAUGUCCACACUCGGGCCUAGGUUGUGGUGGUCCUCAGUGCAUCUCUAGUAGCCCCUGGCCCAGCCCUGACAACACUGGUUCCCAAAUGAACCAGGUUCAGACAGCCAUGGUGGGGGCAGUGGGGCUGGGCGUGGUGGUGGUCAUGGAGCUUGGAAGCUCUGUUGUGCCUUCUAGGUUACUAAUAAGAUUUAAAUGUUAACAGCAAAGCAAAUGAUAAAACUACAAGCUGAGUUAUGAAGAUUCUGAACUUAACUAAGUCUACAUUAAAUUCUGAGGACAUCGUAAAAAAAGAGAUAGGAAAUUGGCCACAGCGGGAAGACUCUCCUAAUCUCAGCAUAUAGAGUAAAAACUGAUGAUGUCUGUCUUUGAAAAAUGAAAAACACAUUAAGUUGAAUAGCCAAGAAAAAAAUUGCAAUUUAUUAAGAUUCAACAAAGCGUUGUAGUUCUGAAAGCAACUUUCGGUGUGUGUUCUUCAACGAUCACAUUCUAUGAGGAGAGACAGUAAGAGCCACAAACUUGUUUUUAUCUCAGAGUCACAGACACCUUAAAUUCAAAA